UCUUCCAACACAGCUUUCAGCAGAGUUAGAUUGAGUCAGUACUUGGAUAGGAGACUUCCAAAGAACCCAUAGAUAUUGCAAGAA
rnacentral:rRNA from 1 species